UUAUAAAUACUUUUGCAAAAACCCCCAAACCUGUCAGACCAUUAGAGGCCACAGAGUUGUACUCCACUGUUACAGCAGAGCUAUCAGGUGUGAUGAUAGCAGCCAUUAUUUGCUAUUGCCAAAAUUCAGCCUAAUGGUCACUUUGUUGAUAAUUUUUGGAGCCAGAGGCAAGUCUCGAAGAGGUGCCACAUGAAGAAAGGACAACUUUGUUAAUGACAUCCCACAGAAGAGGAGUGCUGUAACUGAAAGGAUGUCACUUCAAAUGAAUUUUCCCAGCAGAAGCUACUGCUGAAUCAUCUUAUUUCCUGUAUAUUGAAACAAAUUGAGAGCAAGGACCUUCCCAGUCACAACAUGUUACUGGAAAUUCAGUAUUGGAAGCUCUUCUGUGCUUUAAAAGUGCAAAGAGUGAAAGAUGCCUUAACUGAAGAUACUGCAUGUGCUGCUUCCUUUUCAGAUCAAACUGCAGACCAAUGCAGUCACCACAACAAACAGGAAUGUGCAGACAGAAUGACUGACCAGGGCUGCUUUGUAUUCUUAGUCCAUCCAAGCUGUGUUUUAAUACAGCCAACAACAAAGAACGUUCCCUAGGAAGCAUUCAGAGACUGUGUGCUUGCGUAUACACACUGUGGCCUUUCAGUACAAAAAGGGGACUUCCAAGAAAGAUGGAGACUUUUCACCAUGGCAUGCUGUGACAUGACAAAGGGCAACACUUUUAAAUUGAAAUGGGGUGGAGUUAGAUUGGACAUGAGAAAGAAAUGUUUUUACAGUGUGGGUGAUGUGACACUGGAACAGGUUGUCAUGAGCUGUGAAGGUCACAUCGCUGAAGUGUUCACAAUGGAGUUGGAUGGGCUUUAAGCAACCUGGUCUAGUGAAAGAUGCCCCUGCCCAUGGCAGGAUGGGUGGAACUAGAAGAUAUGAGGUCACUUUUAACCCAAACCAUUUCACAAUUCUACGACUCUUUGUUUCCAAUGCAAAGAUGGGAAAGACUAGGAGGACAUAACAAUCUGCAUUUAUGAAUAGGCUGAUGAAAGCCCUUGCCUCGGGAAGUGGUUGAAUCACCAUCCUUGGAGGUAUUAAAAAGACAUGUAGAUGUGACACUAAUGGACAUGGCUUAGUGGUGAACUUGUCAAUGCUAUAUGAUAGGAUUCAGUGAUCUUAAAGGUCUUUUCCAACCUAAAUGAUUCUAUGACUUUAUGAUUAUCUGUAUGCGGAAUAGAAAGACAGUGAGGCAUUACUUAUCCUUUAAGGAAAGGACAGUGCCUAUAAAUGUGGGAGUGGUUAUGUGUGACUCAUUAAUUCAUCACUCCUUUUAGUUGUCUUGCAAGUUUAUGUCAACUUGAAAGUCAUCUCCUUAUUAUUAGUGUGACAAAGUUCCCUUUGGGGGGAGUUGCUCAAUUUGUAUUCCAUGGUGAUCAUUAUAGCAAUUUCUUGCCUGCUGCUAGGAUUUUAAUGCAGAAGGCCGAAACUCCUAGCAGUUGCAUCCUGGGCAACUCCUUUGACUUCAGGAAGAUUGCAUGGACUAUUAAUUAGUGCAAAAAUUGGUCCAACUUCUGUAGUCUUUUGGGAGCAUAUAACACAUGCACCAAUAAAAGGAAAAAAAGCAGUUAUUUGAGAGAACAACCACCUGGACUUCUUAAUAGCAAUAUGAACACAACAAACCACUUGAAAAAGCGGUGUCCUUGAAUUUUAUUUCACAAUUGAACAUGUCAUUUUAAGUGUCAUGAUUCAUAGCUACUCAAAUUCUGUACUUUUACAAAGAGCAUUUAUGCACUAACUUGUAAUACAGGUUGUUAAAAAUGAAGAAGUAGUGCUUAAGGUUGUUUUUAUUACGAUAGAUAACAUUAAUUAGCCCUGGUAUGGAAGGGAGGAGAAGUUUCUCUUGAAUGCUCUACUCUGCAGUGCAUUAUUAAUUUUCUCAUUCAUUCCUUUUUAGCUCAUUAGCUUUUAAAUGUUAUAGUCUGAUGGUGAGGUGAAGUUUCAAGUGCCUGUUCCCUCUGCCACCCAUUUCAAGCCAUCUCACAAUCAUUGUCAUUAUGGUUAAUUUAUAUUGCAGUAGUACUCAAUCAAGGGUAGGGAUGCUAUCAUCACAGCUUGUGAUGAUGACAAAAUGGAACUCUUAAAUAAUUCUUUCCGUAUUGUUUUAGGACAGUUUAGGGUUAAACUGAAUUAAAGAAUUCAUUAAAACUCAAGUAAUUCUCCCUUUGUCAAAAAAACCCUUAUUUAGCAGGUAGGAAUAAGCAUUGUUCUUUAUAGACACCAAGCAGGAAGACUAUCAAAGUACUAAUACAAGAAUUGUGGACUGACAUCCACAAUACCAGAUAGCCUUUCAGGACCUUUGACCUGCUAGCUUCAUUUUGCAGGAUAUCCCUUUGAUGAAGUAAUUUACUAAGCCCACACUUUUGAAAAAGAUUUCCCAUAUGAGAUUUGUACAACAUUUAUGGCCUGAGGCUGUAAACAAUUCAUGUACACCAUUUUUUUUUUAAAUCAACCAUGUAGUGAAUGUCAUAGCACUCUAGUAAACUGACCUACAAUAUCUUAGGUGUAAUUGUUCAAUGUACCUCUAAUUCUCCCUUUGUCAGUGGUGACUGUGUUAGGUACAUUGCAGAAAGUAGAUCCUUCCAGCACUGUACUAAGGAAUAAAAGUUCCAGGAGUUGGUGUUUUUAGGAGGCAACUGAAAUAUGUGAGUUUUCUGAGAGCACUGUGACCCUGCUUUUAUGUGUUAGAGUGUACUACUGAAAGGAUUAUAUGGAAUGAGAAGGGAUUAUUUUCAAGCAGGUAUGGUUUCUCCCACACUGUGAAAAACAUAUGACUCAUUUUGUGCUAAUCACACAGUAUUUCUGUGGCAGUACGUGAUAGCAAUUUCUUCAGUUCUUGUCAGUAAUUUACCUUCCUAAUAAGGUGGAGAUGCUUAAAGGGAACCAAGAAUCAAUAGAAGUUGAAAGUCAGUGAAAUCUGAAAUGUGAACCUAAUGAUGAAUCUCUUCAGCUUUACACCUUCUCCCAUGUUUCACCCACCCCUUCAAAUUAGUUUCAAAAUCUCCAGUUAUUUUAGUUCCUCCUUAAUACAAGACUCAGGAGAGCAUCUCUGCCACAUCUACCUUGCUGAGAAAGCCCAAGGGGUCCAACUGUGCAAAGCGUGACCCAUAUAAUGUGUGAGAGAAGUUCUGGGUAGCCAUCACUGUGCUGAGUGUCCUGCUCAGCACAGAAACCCUUUUCCCAUCAAGACAUACCCUUUACAUGCACUGCAUGGCACGAUUAAAGAAGAAAGCUUGUCUCAGGUCUUGCCAAAAUCUACGCAAAGUCACAAAAAGUUUAAAUUUUUUAAAAAGUGUUGGGCAAAGACAUAAUGCUUUUCUGGUCUUUACCUUUCAUUCCUCUUUGUAUCUCCGCAAUAGCAUUGCCAUCAGCAAAGGUCCUCUUUUCUAUGCUCUGUUUUCUGCAUGAAAAUUAAUAUGUUAAUAAAAUAUCUCAUCUCUUGCU